rnacentral:lncRNA from 1 species
GUUUAAGAUGGGUGUUGGAUGCACUUGAGAGUGUCGAGGUUUCGCUCAUGGAUUCAAGGAGAGGAUUCAAAGGAGGGUCUAAGGUGUCCACAAUUGGGAGGAAGAAGAAACGAAUGAGGGAGAUGAAGCGGAUGUUUUGGCUUCUGUGUUGUCUGAUUCAUCUAUUGUAUUAGCGUUUUACAGCUUCAACAAUAUUUAAUGACAAUAUUCAAAUUUAAUGGACUUUUAAGAAAUAGUGAGUCCCAAGGAAGCGCAUGCAUUUGUCGCGUGUGGGAGCCCAAACGGUCAUUGAGC